CCCCUAGAUGUUCUGGGCCGCACGCGCGCUACACUGAACAGUUCAACAAGUCUUAACCUUGGCCGAUAGGUCUGGGUAAUCUUUGAACGCUGUUCGUGAUUGGGAUAGACCUUUGCAAUUAUGGGUCUUCAACGAGGAAUUCCUAGUAAACGCAAGUCAUCAGCUUGCAUUGAUUACGUCCCUGCCCGUUGUACACACCGCCCGUCGCACCUACCGAUUGAAUGGUCCGGUGAAAUCUCGGGACGGCGGCUUGGUCGCUUGCGUCCGACUGCUGAAACUUGAUUAAACCAUAUCAUUUAGAGGAAGGUGAAGUCGUAACA
rnacentral:rRNA from 1 species